CGGGGACCCGCGGAGCGGCUGGGGUGGAAGUGCUGCUUCGGCGGCGUCGGGACCCGCCGGCGGGCGGCUGUGAGCAAGCCAGUUACUCCGCGUCGUGCGCAGCCUCCGACUGAGAGGCAGCUUUGGCCUGAGGUACAUCUCCCAUACGUGUGUGAACCGCAGGCUCCAGCCGUGAGACCAUCAACUCCUUUGACUUUCCCUCCAGAGAAGAGGUCUUCUUCCAGCACGUUUGAUCUAGGCUCGAUGCCAUUUGGAUAACCAGGCCACUGCUUCUCUACUUGGUUGCAAAGUUUUGAGGAUCUAAGCUCAGGCACCUCGCAUGGCAGCUUCGGAAACAUGCUUCUAUUUGUUUGGGUGUGCCGAGGUUUUUGGUGCGCUCAUUAAACCUGCUGAGGUGGAUGCAGGUUGCAAGACCAUGAGCCGUACUUCCAGGAUAGGGCCUUGCUGGGACAUGAUGCUCUACAUCUCUCUCCAAAAGGUAGAUAGGAUGGAAAUGGAUUGAACCAGCCUCUGUCGGUAUGCUUUGAGCUGAUGAGUCAGGUUUUCUACCUAAGUAAGGUAACAGAUUUUGUGUAUUUGGGUGGUGUAUUUCUUUGUUUUGAAAGCACCUGAUGCCUUUGCAUGGUAUAAAAUAC
rnacentral:lncRNA from 1 species